rnacentral:rRNA from 1 species
AACGAACGCUGGCGGCAUGCCUAACACAUGCAAGUCGAACGAGACCUUCGGGUCUAGUGGCGCACGGGUGCGUAACGCGUGGGAACCUGCCCUUAGGUUCGGAAUAACUCCCCGAAAGGGGUGCUAAUACCGGAUAAUGUCUUCGGACCAAAGAUUUAUCGCCUUUGGAUGGGCCCGCGUUGGAUUAGCUAGUUGGUAGGGUAAAAGCCUACCAAGGCGACGAUCCAUAGCUGGUCUGAGAGGAUGAUCAGCCACACUGGGACUGAGACACGGCCCAGACUCCUCAGGGGGGCAGCAGUGGGGAAUAUUGGAAAAUGGGCGAAAGCCGGAUCCAGCAAGGCCGGGUGGGUGAUGAAGGCCUUAGGGUUGUAAAGCUCUUUUACCCGGGAUGAUAAGGACGGUACCGGGAAAAUAAGCCCCGGCUACCCCCGU